GGAAUGCCGAAGAGAUUUGGCAGUGCUCGCAAGAGAACCGGAACACAGGUGCUGCAUGGCUGUCGUCAGCUCGUGUCGUGAGAUGUUGGGUUAAGUCCCGCAACGAGCGCAACCCUUGUCAUUAGUUGCUACGAAAGGGCACUCUAAUGAGACUGCCGGUGACAAACCGGAGGAAGGUGGGGAUGACGUCAAGUCCUCAUGGCCCUUAUGGGUAGGGCUUCACACGUCAUACAAUGGUCGGGACAGAGGGUCGCCAACCCGCGAGGGGGAGCCAAUCCCAGAAACCCGAUCGUAGUCCGGAUCGCAGUCUGCAACUCGACUGCGUGAAGUCGGAAUCGCUAGUAAUCGCGGAUCAGCAUGUCGCGGUGAAUACGUUCCCGGGUC
rnacentral:rRNA from 1 species